GACGAACGCUGGCGGCGUGCCUAAUACAUGCAAGUCGAGCGGACCAAUAGAAGCUUGCUUCUAUUGGUUAGCGGCGGACGGGUGAGUAACACGUGGGCAACCUGCCUGUAAGACUGGGAUAACUUCGGGAAAACGGAGCUAAUACCGGAUAAUUCACACCCUCGCAUGAGGGAGUGUUGAAAGUCGGUUCGCGCUGACACUUACAGAUGGGCCCGCGGCGCAUUAGCUAGUUGGUGAGGUAAUGGCUCACCAAGGCGACGAUGCGUAGCCGACCUGAGAGGGUGAUCGGCCACACUGGGACUGAGACACGGCCCAGACUCCUACGGGAGGCAGCAGUAGGGAAUCUUCCACAAUGGACGAAAGUCUGAUGGAGCAACGCCGCGUGAGCGAUGAAGGCCUUCGGGUCGUAAAGCUCUGUUGUUAGGGAAGAACAAGUAUUGGAGUGACUGCCGGUACCUUGACGGUACCUAACCAGAAAGCCACGGCUAACUACGUGCCAGCCGCCGCGGUAACAC
rnacentral:rRNA from 1 species